rnacentral:snRNA from 1 species
GUUCUGGCUUUGGCAGCACAUAUACUAAAAUUGGAACGAUACAGAGAUUAGCAUGGCCUCUGUACAAGGAGGACGUGCAAAUUCAUGCAGCAUUCCAUUAAAAA